UACCAGCUCUUCGGGUGGUGUGGAUGUUUAUUGGGCCUAAAGCAUCCGUAGCUGGCUGGGCAAGUCCCCUGUUAAAUCCACCGAUUCAAUCGUUGGAGUGCGGGGGAUACUGCUCGGCUGGGGGACGGGAGAGGCAGACGGUAUUUUCGGGGUAGGGGUGAAAUCCUAUAAUCCCGGGAAGACCACCAGUGGCGAAGGCUGUCUGCUAGAACGUGCCCGACGGUGAGGGAUGAAAGCUGGGUGAGCGAACCGGAUUAGAUACCCGGGUAGUCCCAGCUGUAAACGAUGCAGGCUAGGUGUUUGGACGGCCACGUACCGUUCUAGUGCCGCAGGGAAGCCGUUAAGCCUGCCGCCUGGGGAGUACGGCCGCAAGGCUGAAACUUAAAGGAAUUGGCGGGGGAGCACCACAAGGGGUGAAGCUUGCGGUUU
rnacentral:rRNA from 1 species